rnacentral:lncRNA from 1 species
AAGGAGUGGAGCCAGGAUCCACCUCAUCCCAGACCUCAUUUAAAGGUUGGCAGUGGAGGCAAGCAUAUCUUGCUGGAGAUCCCUGCCUACCCAAGGCCUUCCAAAGAGUGUACAGAUUUCAGGAGCUAAGGCAAAAGAGAAUGUUGCCAGAAGAUCAAAUCGAAACACAGUCCUCAGAACACUGCUAGCAAGAGAGAGACUCCAGUGGAUUUCCACAGCAGAAGAGUGAAAUUAAAGUCAAGAGCAAUGAGCACGUGUGAUCAGAGCUGGGUCUCUUGAAGUUAAGUUCAUCUCAAACUGGUGUAUGGGAAUUUGAAUCUUUAACUGCUAAGUUUAUCCCCCUCGGAUUCACCUUUUAAAAGCAUCUGGCAGAGCUGAGAGCCAGCUACAGGACACUGUGAAAUCACAAGUCACAGGAGGCCCCCUAGGGCAAUCAGUCCUUCUCAGGGCUGCUAGAGAAGCCCAUCACUGUAUAUUUUCCAAAGGUAUAUUUAACCCAAUUCUGAAAGAGGUGAACAGUAAACCAACCCAUCACUCCUUGCUGUCAACUGAUUACCUAUCAGCCAAAUGUCACAGACUGCACCUGCAUCUCCUCACCUCAGUGAAGGCUCACUGCUUGCAAAACCACUAACUGGAUCGCAUUCCUCCUCCACAAUGAGGUCACAGGAUUUUAUAAGACAGAGGAAGGUUUAAGGUUAACCAGGCUCUUGCAGAAGAUUACAAAUAAUGAGAUGAGGCAGGCCAGUGAAAAGACACUCUGGCCUCCUACAAGUGAGGGACAUUGAAGAUCAGGCUCCUGCAUGGGUGGCUGGGAAUACCCCACUGAAGACAAGCAGACCCCAGUGUGGGGAUGAACGGGCUCACACUGCGGGUUCUCUCCUGCACAACUCUCAGAGCCAUCUGCUCUGAAUUAGGUGGGAUUAAAGGCACAGCAUGGGCAAAUCCCUUCUGUCUGUUUGUGCAAUACAGGUUUAUCCUAUGUGAAAUAAGGCUUAGAGGCAAGGGCUGCCUUUCUCACAUGCAAGGGAAGGUAGUUAACAACAAGAGCUUCUAAAGCCAGGUAAAAGAACACAACCCUCUAAGUGAGAGAUGGCAUACUGGCAGGUCUUUGUUUUGAUAGCCUCAGUGCAGAACAAAACAAGACAGGACAGGCAGCAAAGGCCCUUUGUGAGAUUCUCUGCAGGCAAAGAAAGUACAAGGCAGGCAAAAUACAAUCCAUAAAAAAUAGCACUGGAUUCAUAAUCACCUUGUGGAGGGAAAGGGUACAUAAGGGGAACAGGGAAAUUUGAAGACCACAAAUAUCCAUUUCCUUCUUCUCUAGGUGCUUGUCUUGCAAGGAUGCAACAAAAACUAAAAGCUGUAGAGACAACCUAUUAUUAAGACAGCUUCAGGACCCUGUACGUUCUUGUCCAGCUCAUCCUUACUUUGCCAUACUUCUGCCCACAAACUGCCCUCUGAGAUGCUGUCCUGAACCCAGCUGUGCCUACCCACCAUCAGCCAAGUCUGAAAGGGCAGUUGGUGGCAGUGGGGAUGUGCUCACUUAUGAUUUCUAUGCUACAAAAUGCCCCUUUGGUAGAAGUAGUCUUCACUUGCUCCUUUUCAAAGCAGUUGCUAGUUCUGCCUUAUAGAUGCCUACUUCAGUGAAUGAAACACACUGGAAUGCACAAGGGAAAGAUCAAGCAAGACACAUUGAACUCAUACUUUAUAAACAUACAUUCCCAAGAGAAGACAAGCAUUGUACCUACUUCUUCAAAUAAUAUACAGAAGUGAAGACACUUUUCCAUAGUAUUUCCACCUGCCCUGGUUUUAUCAGUAUUCCAUAUCAUGACAUCAUUCAACAAGGCUGUCCUCUGAUGGGGGGAUGGGAGGCUGAAAGGGGCCUUCCACCCCACCUUUCCCCUCUUGUGCAUGAAACCAUGACACCAUCCAGAGUUCAAUUAUU